rnacentral:rRNA from 1 species
GACGUAGGAUGCAAGCGUUGUCCGGAAUUAUUGGGCGUAAAGAGUUCGUAGGCGGUUGCCUAAGUCUGAUGUUAAAGCCCGGAGCUCAACUCCGGCAUGGCAUUGGAAACUGGGCGGCUAGAGUGUGGCAGAGGUAUCGGGAAUUCCAGGUGUAGCGGUGAAAUGCGUAGAUAUCUGGAGGAACACCGGUGGCGAAAGCGCGAUACUGGGCCAUAACUGACGCUGAGGAACGAAAGCCAGGGGAGCAAAAGGG